rnacentral:rRNA from 1 species
UACGUAGGGGGCAAGCGUUGUCCGGAAUCAUUGGGCGUAAAGCGCGUGUAGGCGGCCCGAUAAGUCCGCUGUGAAAGUCCAGGGCUCAACCCUGGGAUGCCGGUGGAUACUGUCGGGCUCGAGUCCGGAAGGGGCGAGUGGAAUUCCUGGUGUAGCGGUGAAAUGCGCAGAUAUCAGGAAGAACACCCGUGGCGAAGGCGGUUCUCUGGGACGGUACUGACGCUGAGACGCGAAAGCGUGGGGAGCGAACAGG